UCGUCUUGCUGCCAUGGCGUCUUCUCAAGUGAUGCCUAAUAAUGGAAAUUGGCUUCUUGACACGGGUGCCAAUGCUCAUGUCACCCCAGACCUUCAGAAUCUUGCAAAUCCAAAAGAAUACACUGGUAAUGACAACAUUGGUGGAGUAGGACCUCAAAACCCGGAAGACGCUUUUCCGCGGGAGAUGUGAGAAUGGAUUAUAUCCAUUUCCUGGUGGCGGUGGAUUGUCCAACUAUCCUAUUUCAGUGUGUGUCGGUGUUAGAGUCUCACCUCAUAAAUGGCAUUUACGUCUUGGUCAUCCUGCUUCGUCAAUUAUUAAAUUUUUGAUUGCAAAUAACCAAGUACCAUCAUCUGGUACAAGUACUGUAACGUUUUGUGACUCUUGUCCAUUAGGCAAAAGCACUAAACUUCCCUUUAGCAAGUCUGUGUCCGUGUCUUAUUGUCCAUUAGAACUUUUGCAUUCUGAUGUUUGGAGUUCACCUAUUAUUUCUAAUGAAGGUUUUCGUUA